CCUACGGUGGGCAGCAGUGAGGAAUAUUGGUCAAUGGGCGCGAGCCUGAACCAGCCAAGUCGCGUGAGGGAAGACGGUCCUAUGGAUUGUAAACCUCUUUUGUCGGGGAGCAAAAGACGCCACGCGUGGCGUUCCGAGCGUACCCGAAGAAAAAGCAUCGGCUAACUCCGUGCCAGCAGCCGCGGUAAUACGGAGUAUGCUAGCGUUAUCCGGAUUUAUUGGGUUUAAAGGGUGAGCAGGCGGAAGAGCAAGUCAGCGGUAAAAUUGCGAGGCGCAACCGCUUCGAGCCGUUGAAACUGGUUAUCUUGAGUGAGCGAGAAGUAUGCGGAAUGCGUGGUGUAGCGGUGAAAUGCAUAGAUAUCACGCAGAACUCCGAUUGCGAAGGCAGCAUACCGGCGCUCAACUGACGCUCAUGCACGAAAGUGUGGUUAUCGAACAGGAUUAGAUACCCUUGUAGUC
rnacentral:rRNA from 1 species